rnacentral:rRNA from 1 species
AUUGAACGCUGGCGGCAGGCCUAACACAUGCAAGUCGAACGAGUGGCGGACGGGUGAGUAAUGUCUGGGAAACUGCCUGAUGGAGGGGGAUCACUACUGGAAACGGUAGCUAAUACCGCAUACCAUCGGAUGUGCCCCGAUGGGAUUAGCUAGUGGGUGGGGUAACGGCUCACCUAGGCGACGAUCCCUAGCUGGUCUGAGAGGAUGACCGGCCACACUGGAACUGAGACAGGGUCCAGAUUCCUACGGGAGGAAGCAGUGGGGAAUAUUGCACAAUGGGCGAAAGCCUGAUGCAGCCAGGCCGCGUGUAUGAAGAAGGCCUUCGGGUUGUAAAGUACGUUCAGCGGGGAGGCGUUACCCGCAGAAGAAGCAACGGCUAACUCCGUGCCAGCAGCCGCGGUAAUUC